GGGGUCACCCCUGCACGCCAGGGGCCACCAGGGACCCUCAGGGACCACCAGCAGCCACCAGGAGCCACCAGGGACCCUCAGGAACCACCAGGAGCCACCAGGGACCACCAGGGACCACCAGCAGCCACCAGGGACCAUCAGGAACCACCAGGAACCACCAGGGGCCAUCAGGAGCCACCAGCAGCCACCAGGGACCACCAGCAGUCACCAGGGACCACCAGGAAUCACCAGGGGCCACCAGGAGCCACCAGGGACCACCAGGAGCCACCAGCAGCCACCAGCAGCCACCAGGGACCAUCAGGAACCACCAGGAGCCACCAGGAGCCACCAGGGGCCACCAGGGGCCACCAGGCACCACCAGGCACCACCAGGAGCCACCAGCAGCGACCAGGGACCACCAGCAGCCUCCAGGGACCAUCAGGAACCACCAGGAGCCACCAGGCACCACCAGGAGCCACCAGCGGCCACCAGGGACCACCAGCAGUCACCAGGGACCACCAGGAAUCACCAGGGGCCACCAGGAGCCACCAGGGACCACCAGGAGCCACCAGCAGCCACCAGCAGCCACCAGGGACCAUCAGGAACCACCAGGAGCCACCAGGGGCCACCAGGGGCCACCAGUGGCCACCAGGAGCCACCAGGCGCCACCAGGAGCCACCAGCAGCGACCAGGGACCACCAGCAGCCUCCAGGGACCAUCAGGAACCACCAGCAGCCUCCAGGGGCCAUCAGGAGCCACCAGGCACCACCAGGAGCCACCAGCGGCCACCAGGGACCACCAGCAGUCACCAGGGACCACCAGGAAUCACCAGGGGCCACCAGGAGCCACCAGGGACCACCAGCGACCACCAGGAGCCACCAGGCACCACCAGGAGCCACCAGCAGCGACCAGGGACCACCAGCAGUCACCAGGGACCACCAGGAAUCACCAGGGGCCACCAGGAGCCACCAGGAAUCACCAGGGGCCACCAGGGGCCACCAGGCACCACCAGCGGCCACCAGGAGCCACCAGGCACCACCAGGAGCCACCAGCAGCGACCAGGGACCACCAGCAGCCUCCAGGGACCAUCAGGAACCACCAGGAGCCACCAGCAGCCACCAGGAACCACCAGGGGCCACCAGGAACCACCAGGAACCACCAGCGGCCACCAGUAAUCACCCAGCACCGGGGGAGAGUCAGACAUGGGGGGAAUGGUGCCCACCAAUAACCACCAGUACCCCCAGCACCCAGAGAGGGUCAGGGAGGGGGCAAUGGUACCCACCAGUAACCAUCAGUAACCCCCAGUACCCAGAGAGGAUCAGGGAGGGGGGAAUUGGUGCCCACCAGUAA
rnacentral:lncRNA from 1 species